UACGGGGGGGGCAAGCGUUGUUCGGAAUUACUGGGCGUAAAGGGCUCGUAGGCGGCCAACUAAGUCAGACGUGAAAUCCCUCGGCUUAACCGGGGAACUGCGUCUGAUACUGGAUGGCUUGAGAUUGGGAGAGGGAUGCGGAAUUCCAGGUGUAGCGGUGAAAUGCGUAGAUGUCUGGAGGAACACCGGUGGCGAAGGCGGCAUCCUGGACCAACACUGACGCUGAGGAGCGAAAGCCAGGGGAGCAAACGGG
rnacentral:rRNA from 1 species